GUUUAGGUUCCUGAAACAAAACAACAAGACUCGAGUGGCAUUGAUGAGACCAUGGAAAUUAAUGGUAGCGCGAAGCACAUUCACAAAACUGAACUAAAGAAACGGUUGAAGAAAAAUGCCUCAGAUGAUUCACAAUCUUUUUCCAAGCCUGGAAAGAAACCUAAAUUCAUUGUUCAUGCAACCGGUGAUGUGGGGAUAUCAGGAUAUGGCUAUAGGUGGUGCAAGUAUGGAUAAAAGACGGUGAAGGGGAACCCUCACCCAAGGUGGGACACAAUUUUAAAUAUUGCCCUUGAAUGCUGAGCGCUGACUGUUUUAUUUGAUCAAUUGCAUUAAACCUGUCUGUAAUAAUACUGUGGCUCUGAUGCUGAUAUUCUGUACUUGAUGAUCUAUCCAGCUAUGUAUUCUUCUAACAUGGUUAGCCUAAUUGCUUAAUCAUGUCGUGCAUUUAUUUAUUAUUAUUGUUCUUA